ensembl:lincRNA
CAAGUAUAUAAUAUAAAUAGAAAUAUAUAAUAAUAUAUUAAUUAUGACAUUAAUAAAUAUUAAUGUUUUAUUAAUUAAUAUUAAUUAAUAAUGUAUAUGUGGAUGAAAUUAUGUAUACACCAUAUAUAUACAAUAUAUAAUAUAUGUACAUACAGUACACAGACACACAUGUAGAGAGAGCUUGCUCCCCUCUCUGUGCCCCAUUUGCUCAGUUUUUAGCAUCUCCUCCUCUCUGCACCCUUCCUGGAUAACCAGUUUUAUUCUUCUAGGAUUACUUCAUGCACAUAAAAGAAAACGCAACUACAGUGGACCCUGAACAACAUCGCCUCCACCCUGCUUCCCUUGUCCCCACACCACACUCCAGCCCAGGAACCAGCCAGGAAACAGAGAAGCAAAGAAGUUAGCAAGCUUGUUUUGGCAGAAGAAAAAACACAAAAUGCCCAACCACAGAUCCUCAAAAAUAUUGCUAAGCACUAAUUUUGCUAACAUGUUAGACAGCCUUCGGAUCUAGGCAAUCUUGUUCCUCAGCUGGAAAGAGUUCCUGCCAGCCAUGUGAUUCCAAAUCCACCCUGGACAUAUGGGGAUAAUGAGAAAAUCAGCUCCGGCCUUCCCUGGUCUUCCAGCCAAGUGAAUGGGGGCAUCCCCUGGUGCUUCAGCCCGGGGCCCACCCAGAGGAUGCUAGCUGGCCUGCAGAGGCCUCAACCGUGCCCUCCUGGACUCAGGUAAGACUGAGGUUUCCAUGCCCUCAAAACAAUUGUUCAGACAAAAACUCACUGCCCAGGUCAAAGUCACAGCACCAGAAAGCCAACCUGAGGAUGAAGACAAAGCUCCUUGUUGGCACAGUCCCCUGAUCAUUCGAGGUCAGCAUCUCCAUCAAAAUGGACCCAAUGCUGAGGCAAGAAGGAGAACAUCACUGUUAAGAAGAUGGAAAAUGCAUUUGAGGUGGACUGAACACAGCCAGGAGUUUUUGCUUAUCGACAGCACUGAAUCCUGCCUUGACUAGAGAGACUCGUCAUGUGAUCAACUGUGGCCAGAGGGCAUCCUGCAGACAGCUCCUGUCACACCACACUGACCAGACUCCUAUGAGUAUUUAAGCAUCUUCAGGCAAGCGAUUGACUGUCUUGUAAUGGUCUUACAAGUACGGAACUUUAUUACCUGCUAAUAAUCAGAGCACAUGAUGGGACAAUAGAAUAUACGAGUGAAGUUCUAAAUGCAAGGUUGUUCUUAUUCUGUGAGUGGCAAAACUCAUGCAGUGAGCAGAUAAAGCUGGCAGGAGGCAUUGGCGCCCUAAUGCUGGGCACUAACCACCUGCCCGGACUGCGAAUAUCUGUUGGGUCCUUUCUAUAUCUGGUCUAUUCUCGUGUUUGAUUAUAUCCUGGUGGCAAGAGUAGCAAAAUCCACUCUCCUUCCUAUCCCAUGUGGAGAGGCAUGAUUUGAGUCAGAGAGCAUUAUCCUCUCUGCAUUAUCCAACCCCAUGUCCCAUGAUGCACUUUGUAGACAAGCAAGUGUCCCUGGUGGAGAAUCCACAGCCACACAUCCUCAUUGGUUGCAAGGAUCAGUGUCCAAUAUCUACUGCCAUGAUCAUUCUCAGUUUUACAUCCACAGAGCUUCAUAGAAUUCUAACACCACAGGUCCAAGUAGAGGUUUUGGCCUCAGAGUGGGCUAGAUUCCACCUCUGAAAGCAGCUGUGGGACUGUUUUUCCAUCUGUAAAAUGGAGACAAGAGUAUCACCUACCUCAUGGUGUUGGUGGGAUCGUUAAACAGAAUUCUGAUCAUGAAACCCUUAGCCUGCUGCCUGCAUAGGCUGCACGCGCUCAGUGACCUAUGGCUCUGUUUCAUGCUGACUUUACCAUCAUGUAAGCAGUUUUAAAAAUGCUAGAAGCUUUAGUCAUAGAAUUACCAUAUGAUACAGCCUACUGCAGAGUCCAGAGGCUGAGGCAGGAGAGUUACUUCAACCUGGGAGGCGGAGGUUGCAGUGAGCCAAGAUCGCGCCACUGCACUCCAGCCUGGGCAACAGAGUGAGAUUCUGUCUCAACAAAAAAAAAGAAGACAUGUGUCCCCAUCACAGUAUCAUACAGAGUGCUUCCACUGCCCUAAAAUACCCUGUGCUCUUCCUAUUCAUCCCUCUCUUCAACCCCAGCAACCACUGAUCUUUUUACCAUCUCCAUGGUUUUGCCUUUCCCAGAAUGUCAUAUUGUUGGAAUCAUACGCUAUGUAGCCUUUGCAGAUGGGCUUCUUUCACUGAGCAAUGUGCAUUGAAGGUGCCUCUAUGUCUUUUCAAGGGUUGAUAGCUCAUUCCUUUUUAUUGCUAAAUAAUAUUCCAUUGUCUGAAAGUACCACAUUUUGUUUAUCCAUUCACCUACUAAAGGACAUCUUGGUUGCUUCCAAGUUUGGGCAAUUAUAAAUAAAACUGCUAUAAACAUUGUGUGCAGGUUUUUUUUUUCUAGAUGUCAGUUUUUAACUCAUUUGGACUAUAGAGCACUAUUGCUGGAUCAUAUGAUAUGUGUGUGUUUAGUUUUAUGAGAAACUGCCAAACUGUCUUCCAAAGUGGCUGCACCAUUUUGCAUUCCCACCGUCAAUGAAUGAGAGUUCCGGUUGCUCCACAUCCUCACCAGCAUUUGGUGUUGUCAUUGUUUUGGAUUUUAGCCAUUUCAUAGGUGUGUAGAGGUAGCUCAUUGUUUUAAUCUAAUAAACAUCUUAUUGAAGAAUAACACACAAGCAGAAAAUUUCACAGAUACAAAUGAACAGCUUUUUCAACAAUCACCCACUGGAUACAUUUCUGUAUCCAGCACCCAGGCCAAGAAACUGACACUAACAGUGCCCUGUGCCCCUCUCGGGACCUAGAUCCACUUCCAAUAAUUUAGGCUUCUCUUAGGGAAUUUGCCUCAGAAAAAUAGAGAGAGAGAGAAAUCAAAAGGCAGACAAUCUCACAGAACAAACGAAUGAAGAAAUGAAUGAAGAAUAACAAUGUAGAAAUUUAAGCUCUUUAUGUGUGCACUUAUUACUACAAAUUCUAGUAAUUCUGGAAGCAGAUGUUAUUUACACAGAAAUAAAUACAGAGGCAUGUUGAUUCCGU